UCUGGAGCUUCCUGCCUCUUGGAGGUCUUCUAAGGUAUUACAGUACCUGACAAUACCAUAUUUUGAAGUAAAAAUAUACAGUGGAGCACAAGGACCAAGUAUGAAGCAAAUUAAGAAUAGUUUGCAGGCUUUCUUUUAUAAACGUCCAUAACUGACAUAGCUCUGCUACUCAGAGUGACUAUGGAACUCAGAGAUGUUCUUCUGCCUCUAGGUACUUAUGACAGCCCAUCUCAAGCUGCAAAGAAUCCUUAGGGCAGGCAGCGCUAUUAGAUGAGGCAGCAGGAAUUUUGAUACAGGCAAAAUGAAGAAUGUGCAUCAGAGAUAUUUCAGCAGUUUUUCUUGGGAAUCCCACCAGGAUCAGGUAGACCUGUCAUCUCUAUCUGUGCCAUGUUAGAACUGAUUAUACAGAUUCACCAAUCUUCCACUUGCCUCCUGGUUGCAGAAGGGUUAUCAGACUGCUUUAGCCCUGUGGUGACCCCAAAUCCAGGCCCAGGCUAGUUCUGCACUGAACCUAAUAAGCCCUGCUGCUAGAGCACUCAGUACAGAGCAAGGAGCCUCACUGAGGAUUCCAAGCAGCCACUCUGGGUCCAGCAAGAAGAGUUCUGAGCCAGAGUUAACAAGCUCAGCUGACCUUGGAGUAACUCAUUAUAGAGAACUGGAAAGUUUCUGCGGUGACCUGCACAUCUAUACCUUUUGGAGGUCAAGUGUAUUUUGGCUCAGAAUAAUGAAGAGCUGGAUACAUGCAUGGGGUCUUGAUUCUGUUGCAUUUUCCUUUUAAUACUCUGGAUAGUAUUUUAGAUUUCUUUAUGGAAGUCCUAAUGCCUGAAAUUACUUUUUUUUUUUCAGACAGUACUUAAUUUUUCUUAUUCUUGUCUUUUUGUUUGACCUGAAAAGCAAUUUCUUCUUUCUGUUAUAGUCCAGCAAGUUCAAAUCAUGCUAGAUAGCCCAGAGCAACAAACAUGAAAACCCUACAUUUCUCAUUUAAAAAACAUAGUUUAAAUUAAAAAUG
ensembl:lncRNA